rnacentral:rRNA from 1 species
UACGGAGGAUCCAAGCGUUAUCCGGAAUCAUUGGGUUUAAAGGGUCCGUAGGUGGAUGAUUAAGUCAGGGGUGAAAUCCUAUAGCUCAACUAUAGAAUUGCCCUUGAUACUGGUUAUCUUGAAUCAAUGUGAAGUGGUUAGAAUAUGUGGUGUAGCGGUGAAAUGCAUAGAUAUUACAUAGAAUACCAAUUGCGAAGGCA